GAGCAGGGCUGCGUGUCAAGUCUAUGGACUCGACUCUUGCACAUCUACGUCUUAGGUUUGCGCCAAUUCGUGGUAAGCUUGGGUCAUAGAGACUCAUAGGUGUUAUAAAGACUCGCUGGUGUUUGUCUCCUUGAGGCAUACGGCUUUAACCAAAACUCUCAAAGUUUGACCUCAAAUCAGGUAGGAGUACCCGCUGAACUUAAGCAUAUCAAUAAGCGGAGGAAAAGAAACCAACCGGGAUUGCCUUAGUAACGGCGAGUGAAGCGGCAAAAGCUCAAAUUUGAAAUCUGGCGUCUUCGACGUCCGAGUUGUAAUUUGAAGAAGGCGACUUUGUAGCUGGUCCUUGUCUAUGUUCCUUGGAACAGGACGUCAUAGAGGGUGAGAAUCCCGUGUGGCGAGGAUCCCAGUUAUUUGUAAAGUGCUUUCGACGAGUCGAGUUGUUUGGGAAUGCAGCUCUAAGUGGGUGGUAAAUUCCAUCUAAAGCUAAAUAUUGGCGAGAGACCGAUAGCGAACAAGUACAGUGAUGGAAAGAUGAAAAGAACUUUGAAAAGAGAGUGAAAAAGUACGUGAAAUUGUUGAAAGGGAAGGGCAUUUGAUCAGACAUGGCGUUUGCUUCGGCUUUCGCUGGGCCAGCAUCAGUUUUAGCGGUUGGAUAAAUCCUCGGGAAUGUGGCUCUGCUUCGGUAGAGUGUUAUAGCCCGUGGGAAUACAGCCAGCUGGGACUGAGGAUUGCGACUUUUGUCAAGGAUGCUGGCGUAAUGGUUAAAUGCCGCCCGUCUUGAAACACGGACCAAGGAGUCUAACGUCUAUGCGAGUGUUUGGGUGUAAAACCCGUACGCGUAAUGAAAGUGAACGUAGGUGAGGGCCCGCAAGGGUGCAUCAUCGACCGAUCCUGAUGUCUUCGGAU
rnacentral:rRNA from 1 species